rnacentral:rRNA from 1 species
GAUGAACGCUGGCGGCGUGCCUAAUACAUGCAAGUCGAGCGAACAGACGAGGAGCUUGCUCCUCUGACGUUAGCGGCGGACGGGUGAGUAACACGUGGAUAACCUACCUAUAAGACCGGGAUAACUUCGGGAAACCGGAGCUAAUACCGGAUAAUAUAUUGAACCGCAUGGUUCAAUAGUGAAAGACGGUUUUGCUGUCACUUAUAGAUGGAUCCGCGCCGCAUUAGCUAGUUGGUAAGGUAACGGCUUACCAAGGCGACGAUGCAUAGCCGACCUGAGAGGGUGAUCGGCAGCACUGAGACUGAGACACGGUCCAGACUCCGAAGGGAGGCAGCAGUAGGGAAUCUUGCGCAAUGGGCGAAAGCCUGACGGAGCAACGCAGAGUGAGUGAUGAAGGUCUUCGGAUCGGAAAACUCUGUUAUUAGGGAAGAACAUAUGUGUAAGUAACUGUGCACAUCUUGACGGUACCUAAGCAGAAAGCGACGGCUAACUACGUG